AUGUGACCUCUGAUACUGCCAUGGCUGCUGCUUUCAUUUAUUUAUUGCUGCAACUGAGAUCACCUCGAGCUCAGAUAUACCUUCCAGACAGCCAGUGGCCAGUUGAGGGUUUUGAUGUUUGUGUCCUGUGACCAAAUGCAAAGUCUGGGGAGGACAACAGGCUCAUAGCACGCGUUUCUACAAGGCUUGACACCAGAAUUGCUGUUUUUUGGCUCUUUGGGGGACCCUCCCUCCUUUUUUCAGCCACUGGGUGCCAUGACAUAAAUUUCCUGAGGUCCUCAUGGUGGUGUCCUCUGACUGCAGGCCUGUGGCAGGGAGCCCUUCAGCACAGCCAGCGCUUGGUAGUGUCAAGUUCCCCUCCUCCCCUCAGCUUCCAUGGCAGCAACCUGUGUCCCUGUGCCCCGACUUGGCCGCAGUCCCCCAUGGUAACACGAUCCACAAAGGGAACAUGAGAAGGUGUUUUCUGGGCCAAGGAUUUUCCCCUGGCAGGUUUCAGAAAGGCCCAUGUCCUCCUCUCUGCUCUAGUGUUACUCCAGCCCGCCUCUGCAGCCUCGACUGUCCUGGCAUCACCUGGCAGUCCCUGCCCCGGGUACGUUUCAUCCUGGCUGUGCUACUUCGAUCAAUCAGAGCAAAUCAACUGCAGAUCGGGGCAAGUUGCCACGCGGGCUGGCAUGCCUGGCUCAUGCCUCACCCCUGGCCACAUGCUGGACUAACUUCUCCUCAGCCUGCACUGCUUUCUCAGCAGCUCUCUUUUGACUGCAAUGUUGCUGGUGGCAGUGUAGGAAACACACACAGAAAUCCUGAAUUUGAGCACUUCAUGUAUAAUUUUUUAUGUCUAUUGAAAGCUCACACCCUAUAUUGCUAGCCUCCCUAUGCAUUCAGUAGCACCUACAAAAGGCAAGUAUUUUGCCCACACGCUUUGCAAAGGGCUGUUCUCCAGGCAGCGCUCACCACAUCUAGCUUUCCCCAUUUUCCCCUCAUUUGGGUUGUCCCCAGCAUGGCUAGACACCGCUCAAGCCCACACGUCUGUCUCCUUUCACCCCUGCUGCUUGGGAGGGCCAGGCACGAAGCCCGGACGGGAGGCAAGCAGCCUCGGCCUGACCCGCCACGUAAUGGCUGCCGCCUCUCAGGGCGGCGCUGCAUGGCGAGCGUCUCCACCCGGUGAGGUGGAGCAGUGCCCUGGCUGGCCCAGGGUGUGAUGGUGGCGCUGGCCUUGGCUGGUCCCGGGCGAGGUGCAGCCCUGUUUUCCUCCCCAAAAAUCUUGUCUUGAGCACAGGUCCACGGGGGGCCAGCGCCAGGGGAUUUCACGUGCGAUAUAAGCUGCCCUAGCAGGCGUGCUGUGGCUUCCCCAGAGCUGCCUCUUGAGUGUUCGCUGCAAGAUGUCCCUGUUGCGUGGGAGAAGGUGCCACUGUCUGUGCCGAGAGAGUUGCUUUGUAUAAUGGCUCUGCUGGAGGCAAGUCACCCUCAGAUGGGUGCGAGGGUAUGGCCAAGCCUGAGACCUUUGGGGAAAAAUAUUCUGAGUGUGCCCAUCCUGUGGGAUACAAGCCCUGUUGGUCUGCACAUACGGGAUUUCCCUUAACACAGGCUCGGGAGUUGCCCCGUGCACACCUGGUGCUCUUGAGCUAUAAGGCUCACGUUUUGCUAGUAUAAUCUGUGUACAAUGUAAAUGUAAUUUAAAAUUUACAUCUGUUUUUAAUGACUUUUUUUUUUCUUUCAUUCCUGUCCUUCCCACCACUCACCUCUGAUAUUUAGGGUCACUGUACAAAGCUUAGGUACCCUUCUGCCCCGGGGAGGGUGAAUGUCGUUAUGCUGUGGUCAGUAUUGCUCAAUGGUUCACCUGGGAUUACAUCUUGAAGGAGUCUCUGCGGUUCUCAGGUUUGAGAACACUCUUCCUCUGUGUACUGCACAGAUGAUUGCUCGAGAAAUUAUCAUUCAAGAAAUUCCUUCUUUAUAACUUGUCCCAUGGUGACUCUUGGUCGUACUACAUACAGGUAGUUGAGGUCCCCCAUUAUCAUAAUUUUUGCUGCCUAAGUAUUUUGCACUUAAUUGCCACCUUCUGCUCUGUGACUAAUAAUAAUCCUACUCUGUAAAGCCACCCCUAGAGAAAAUGGUUUGCAGCUUAGUACCAGUAGCAGAUGAGGGGUGACCUUCCCUUCUUUUAUCCCAUUACAUCUGUCAGGUGCAAACUUGGAAGCCAAAUUGGGAAGCAUUAUUAAAUAAGAACAAAUUAUUUUAUUUUACAUAGCAAAUAAGCUAGGACAAUUACAUGUAGAAGGCUAGCCAGGCACUGCUCUGCCUGCAAAAUCAAAUUAAACAACCAGAAAUGCAGAAGCAAAAAUUUCUUAAGCAAUGCAAACUGCAGGGAGUUGCACAGUCUGUAAAUGUUAUCUCCCUGUAACUGCCCACAGCGGAGUGCAGAGUGCUGCAGCUGCAGGUUGUCCCUGCUGCCACAGGCAGCAUGUCCUGCAGCUCAGCAGCCUUACACCGAGGGGAAAAGUGGAAGCACCAGGAGCUGCAGGGUUGGAGAUUGGAUGGAAUUACUGUCCAUGUCGAGAAUGUUACCUUUCAUAGCUCCUGAUUUCCUUCCAUGCUCUAAGGAACAGCAAAUAGCUCCUCCGGUGGGCCAAGAAGUCUGUAGCCUACCUUUCAAAUUUCCAUAUUGGCAUUUACUGUGUUGAGGUUCAAAUCCUUUUACAGCCGUGGUCUGAACAAGAAAAGGGCAUUUAAGGGAGUAAGACUACAUCUUGCUCUUCUGGGUUACAUUAAAAUCCAUUGAUUUCCAUCUGUUAUUUGAACAAAGCAGAGUGCAUUUUAGAUAAAAAUAAAAUUGCUUAUAUUGGAGAAUAUACAUUAAAUAUAUUUGCUGUUUAUGGUCUGUAAAUUGGACGGUUCUGUUUUUAGAGUUUUUUAAUAAUACAAGUAAGAGGAGGUCACUGUACUCAAAAGGCUCUAAGCACAAAAAGCUCUUUCACUUCACUACAUCAUUAGGAGCACUGCAGAAAGCAUCCCACCUGCAAGUCUGCUUGCACCCUCAUUCAGCAAAGCCUCUGCACUGAAAAGCACCUGUGUGUAUGCUUUUGAAUUCAGUGUGUGCUUAAGAAUGUUUCUAAACAGAUGUUGACAGCUAAAUCUGUUUACUUUCCAGACUAAUUUCAUUCCCCUUUGCUCCUCUUGCUUCAAAAAGGAGAGAUCAUUGCCCCUGCAGAAAUUAACCAAACCUGCAAAUGCUUUUAUUUCUUGGGACUUCUGAAAUACUCAAAGCACAAACCCCAGGUUUAAUACUGCAAUCAGGCACAUUGAAGAAUCAGGCACAUUUGCACUUUUACAACAUAUAUGAGCACCUUGGGCCAAAUAUAAUGCCCCAAAUAUAUUAUAAAACUCCCGGCUUUUACUGCAGCACCUGUGAUCCUCAUUUAAGUGGUUGGCUAAAGGGGCAUGUGAAGCUUCAAACCACAGGAGCAGCACAGAGCAGCUGGGAUACCCUAGUGGAUAUGACCUGUUCUACUACUAUGCAUCAGGAUUUGGUUAGGAGCUUUCUUUUGUUGUUGCUGAUGGAAAAUAUCUGUCACCAUCGUUUGCCCCCGCUCACAUUAAAAACAGGAGCAUUAAAGACAGGAUUGGUAGCAUAUCUCCUCCAAGGUGCAUUCAGAAGCGGCCACACUUACACAUCUCUCACUGCUUGCUCCUUUAUUCCCAGGGCAGGAACACCAAACCUACCUCAGUGAUGUUAGCCUCAGGUUGACGGUCUUUUCAGAACUAUAUUUUAUCUCAAGUUUUAGAUUUUAAAUCCUUCUUUCAGCGCUCAGUCUGAUGGUAUCAGAGUCCUCAAAGGCUACCCAAGCUUGUAUCAGAGCCCUGCAGACUGCUCAACCUUUAUAGAAAGUAAAAGGUGAAGAAGAAAUUGUUGUCAGGGUUUGAAAUAGCCUUUGAAUAGCAAAUUCAAAAUGAACAAUUAAAUAAGAACAUAUGCCUUAUCAUUACAAGCUGCCAUUUUGUAUAUCAUUUGUGUAUCAUAUCAUUACUAGCAAUACAAAGAGCCUUUGGGGAGCCUGUGGAAGGGUUAGCCAUUUUUCAGUCUACACACAGUGUCCAAGUAGACUUGACGUGCACUGGUAGCAAUUUAGCAAAUACUACUGGUGGGCAGAGAAGCAAAGAAACAACUUAAUAUUGGGGAAAAUGUUUGUCAGAUCCCUUUAAAAUAAGGCAACGGUUGCUAUAGAGAGAAAGCAAAAUAUGGCUUUAUCACACACAAGCCAAAUUACAGACUAAAAUAAUUUCAUUCUGAAGCUGCAGCAAAAGUUAGCAAAUUAUGGCAAUCUCUUUGUAACAGAGUGGUAUGAGAGCUGUGCAAAUACAUUUCAGGGUAUCUAAAUGCACAGAGAAAGUGAGAACGAGCACUGUAAAGCCAAACAGGGCAUACAGUGAAACUCAAAUUC